GGCUCAGUGGCGGAUGGUCCGCAUCUGCAUUUAUUUAUAUUGUGUGAUCGAGAUGUGCAGAAGGUGCUCGUUCGAAUCGGGGCUGAGCCU